UACGUAGGGGGCUAGCGUUGUCCGGAUUUAUUGGGCGUAAAGAGCGUGUAGGCGGCCAGGUAGGUCCGUUGUGAAAACUCGAGGCUCAACCUCGAGACGUCGGCGGAAACCAUCUGGCUAGAGUCCGGAAGAGGAGAGUGGAAUUCCUGGUGUAGCGGUGAAAUGCGCAGAUAUCGGGAAGAACACCCGUGGCGAAGGCGGCUCUCUGGGACGGUACUGACGCUGAGACGCGAAAGCGUGGGGAGCGAACAGG
rnacentral:rRNA from 1 species